AUGAAGACUCCAUACGAAAGAGUGACAGUGAAGGCAAAGGUGAUUCAACUGCAAAGCCAUGGACACAAUGUUGUUCACGACAGCACAUUUCUCCAGAACACAUACUACACAAUUGCAGAUGAAAAAGCAGCAAUCGAUUUGACCGUAUGGGGUGACAGCAAAGUUACAACUGACUGCUGGUACGAGAUCUCAAAUGUUUCCAUACGCACCUUCAAAGAUAAACUGCUUUUAACUACAACCAAAGACACAAACUUCACUAUACUGAGCUGCCGAAAUCCCAUUCAUCCUGUGGAGAACACCACCACCCAAACUGUCACAGCAGACAUAAUUGGAGCAACAGUACACCUAAUUCAUAUCUGUCCACUGCAACACAAGAUCGCCAACAUGCCCUUGUCCGCUUCAAGAGUGAAUUGGCAAAAAUGUGAGAUGUUCUACAAGUCCUCUUCAGUCACCACAUACACGUAUGGAACUAUCACCGUCAAAACCACCAAAGGGGUUCAGACCCUGAACAUCGAGAACCAUAGCAUCGAGUCCAUUGUAAACAUCACACACAACUCCACUACAGACCACAUUAUAGACGCUAUACUUGCACUGCCCCCUGUCAACAUAUCCAUAUACAAAAACAACAUAACAAACAUAUCACUCCAACAAGACACCCAUUCCAUACAGACACCGAAAAUCACAAUCACACGACCUAUGGACUCGUCUCAAAGCCUCUAUGCAACCGAUCUAGAGAACCGAAUGGCUGACGACUUCCUCACUUCCACCCCAUCUACAUCAACAGCAACCACUUCAGCUUCAUCAGCCAUCAUACCACCCACAGAAUUACCAACAGUAUUAAGAACUAAAACCAGAACCAGUUCCAACCAGGAAAAAUCACCCCAAUGAAGGAGAUUAGCCCACUUAACUACUCAAACGUCUGCUGUGAGCUUCUGGGAGGUGGUGUGCUUCGCUCCUGCUAUUUUUUCUUUUUAUUAGUAACUUUUCUGUUGCAUUUACUAUGACAUCGGUCAAAUCUACUUUAAUUUCUCAAUUGUUGUGUAACAAUAAAUGUAAUAGCAAACACCACUAAUCAUUUAGAAUAAAAAUAACUGACCAUAUUCAUAGUUGUUUUGUAAAACAGUUAUAUCACCAAAGAAGAAGAAAAUAAAACUGAUAAAAAUAAGUAAAUAAAUAUAAGUGGAUGAUUACAGAGUAUAUUAUUUUGAACUUCCAAAAGUCCAAGAUAGGUCCCCAUUUGGCUUCAAAUCUUUUUUGUGAGCCAAGCUUACCAAAAUGUAAUUGUUCCAUUUGGAUAAUAUAAAGCAUCUCGUUUAACCGUCUUUAAAAACAAGGAGCUUGUGAAGUUUUCCAAUUGAGGAGUAUUACCUUCUUGGCUGUGAUUAAGCCUACCAUUAGAGCGUGCUGAUGAGUAUGCGGGAUAGUAUCAUAACAUCAGAAUAGCUGAAAAUAGCCAGACUGUGGUCAGGUUGAAUGUUAAUUCUGUAUGCGCUUGAAAACAAUUCAAAAAUGUUAGACCAAAAAUCAUACAGAAUAGGGCAAAACCAAAAUAAAUGUGCCAAUGUCCCUUCCUCCAUCUUGGACCUAUCACACUGAGGAUAAAUGCAGGGAAAUAUUUUGUUCAAUCUAGUUUUGGAGUAAUGAAUGCGAUGCAUAACUUUGAACUGGAUUAAUUUAUAUCUCGAAUUUACAGAACAGCUCUUGUUUCUCGACAGGCCUUCUUCCCAGAUCUCAUCAGACACGUUGUCUUUCACGUCAGUAGACCUGGCUAUUUUAAGGUGUUUGUAAAAGCAUGAACAAAACGAGAUACCAAAUGUCUAGCUUCAGGAUUAGAAGAUAAAAGUUCAUGAAUAAUAUGGUUUUCAGGUUUAUUUAUAAAAUGUGGAAUAUUUUUCUUAACAUAAUUUCUAAUUUCCAAAUAACAGGAGAAGUGAGACUGUGGGAGUACAAAUGUAUUUUUAAGUUGCAAAAAGGACGCAAAUUGAUCUUCUAUAUAGAGAUCUCCUAUACAGCAUAAACCUUUUUUUCUCCAUCCUGAAAAAGCUCCAUCAAUCAGAGAAUGCUCAAACGAAGGAUUGCAUGAUAUUGGUGUAUUGAUUGAGACUUUUGGUAGUUUAUAACAAUUUUUGAUCUGAUUCAAAAUCUUCAAAGAAUUUCUCAACACAAAAUUAAUGCUGCCUAAUUUACAGAUAGAUUUACACUCUGUAAAAAGAGAAGACUCUGAGAGAAGACUCUGGUGCUGACAAAGCCUCUGCACGAACCCAUAGAGGAGAAGUCUCAG
ensembl:lncRNA